AAACUUUUAACGAACGGAUCUCUUGGUUCGGGCAUCGAUGAAGAAACGCAGCGAAAAUGCGAUAGGUAAUAUGAAUUGCAGAACUCAGCGAAUUAUCGAAUCUUUGAACGCACAUUGCGCCCGGGAGUAUUCUCCCGGGCAUGCCUGUUCGAGCGUCAUUU
rnacentral:rRNA from 1 species